rnacentral:rRNA from 1 species
GACUCCUACGGGAGGCAGCAGUGGGGAAUAUUGCACAAUGGGCGCAAGCCUGAUGCAGCCAUGCCGCGUGUAUGAAGAAGGCCUUCGGGUUGUAAAGUACUUUCAGUCGGGAGGAAGGUGGUAAGGUUAAUAACCUUAUCAAUUGACGUUACCGACAGAAGAAGCACCGGCUAACUCCGUGCCAGCAGCCGCGGUAAUACGGAGGGUGCAAGCGUUAAUCGGAAUUACUGGGCGUAAAGCGCACGCAGGCGG